AUUGAACGCUGGCGGCAGGCCUAACACAUGCAAGUCGAGCGGAUGAAGGGAGCUUGCUCCUGGAUUCAGCGGCGGACGGGUGAGUAAUGCCUAGGGAUCUGCCUGGUAGUGGGGGAUAACGUCCAGAAACGGGCGCUAAUACCGCAUACGUCCUGAGGGAGAAAGUGGGGGAUCUUCGGACCUCACGCUAUCAGAUGAGCCUAGGUCGGAUUAGCUAGUUGGUGGGGUAAAGGCCUACCAAGGCGACGAUCCGUAACUGGUCUGAGAGGAUGAUCAGUCACACUGGAACUGAGACACGGUCCAGACUCCUACGGGAGGCAGCAGUGGGGAAUAUUGGACAAUGGGCGAAAGCCUGAUCCAGCCAUGCCGCGUGUGUGAAGAAGGUCUUCGGAUUGUAAAGCACUUUAAGUUGGGAGGAAGGGCAGUAAGUUAAUACCUUGCUGUUUUGACGUUACCAACAGAAUAAGCACCGGCUAACUUCGUG
rnacentral:rRNA from 1 species